rnacentral:rRNA from 1 species
ACGAACGCUGGCGGCGUGGAUAAAACAUGCAAGUCGAGCGCUGAUUACAAUGGUAGCAAUAUUUUGUAGUCGGAGCGGCGCAGAGGGUGCGUAACACGGUUGGGUAAUUCUGCCAUGAAGUUUGGGAUAACUUGCUGAAAGGCGAGCUAAUACCGGAUGUGACAGUUGGAAGGCAUCUUCCGAUUUUCAAAGUUGGGGACCGUAAGGCCUGACGCUUCAUGAUGAGCCCGCGGCCUAUCAGCUAGUUGGCGAGGUAACGGCUCACCAAGGCUAUGACGGGUAGCUGGUCUGAGAGGACGACCAGCCACACUGGAACUGAGACACGGUCCAGACACCUACGGGUGGCAGCAGUCGAGAAUUUUUCACAAUGGGCGCAAGCCUGAUGGAAGCGACGCCGCGUGGGGGAUGAAUGGCUUCGGCCCGUAAACCCCUGUCAUUUGCGAUCAAACCUCGUUAUUAAAAGAUGACGAGCUGAUAGUAGCGGAAAGAGGAAGGGACGGCUAACUCUGUGCCAGCAGCCGCGGGUAAUACAGAGGUCCAAGCGUUGUUCGGAUUCACUGGGCGUAAAGGGUGCGUAGGUGGUCGGGUAAGUCGGAUGUGAAAAGCUCGGAGCUCAACUCCGAAAUGGCAUUGGAAACUACCUGGCUUGAGGGAUGGAGGGGGGGACUGGAAUUCUCGGUGUAGUAGCAGUGAAAUGCGUAGAUAUCGGAGAGGAACACCAGUGGCGAAGGCGAGUCCCUGGACAUCUCCUGACACUGAGGCACGAAAGCUAGGGGAGCAAACAGAUUAGAUACCCUGGUAGUCCUAGCCGUAAACGGUUGCAUGUUUGCUGUAAAAGGAAUCGACCCCUUUUGUGGCGUAGCCAACGCGUUAAACAUGCCGCCUGGGAAGUACGGUCGCAAGAUUAAAACUCAAAGAAUUGACGGGGGCCUGCACAAGCGGUGGAGUAUGUGGCUCAAUUCGAUGCAACGCGAAGAACCUUACCUGGCCUUGACAUGUAUGUGGUAGAAGGAUGAAAGUCUGACGACCUCGCAAGAGGAGCAUACACAGGUGCUGCAUGGCUGUCGUCAGCUCGUGUCGUGAGAUGUGGGUUAAGUCCCGCAACGAGCGCAACCCUUAGUGUCCAGUUGCCAUCAUUCAGUAGAGGGCACUCAUGGCGAAACCGCCCCGAUAACGGGGAGGAAGGUGGGGAUGACGUCAAGUCCGUCAUGGCCCUUAGGUCCAGGGCUAACACGUACUACAAUGGUUGGGACAAACCGGUCGCAAGACCGCGAGGGGGAGCUAAUCGACAAACCAGAGCCCAGUUCCGAUUGUAGUCUGCAACUCGACGCCGUGAAGCUGGAAUCGCUAGUAAUGGCGCAUCAGCUACGGCUGCGGUGAAUACGUUCCCGGCCUUGUACACACCCGCCCGUCACAUCACGAAAGUGGUCUGUACCAGAAGUCGUCGGUGCUCUACCCGCAAGAGAUAGCAUGCCGUCCAGGUAUGGAUCAGGUGAUUGGGGUG